UAAACGAAAGCCAAUUAGGCACCUAUCUGUUAAGUAGGCCCCUGUUACACAUAACUCGUUUAA
rnacentral:tRNA from 1 species